UACAGAGGGCUCAAGCGUUGUUCGGAUUCAUUGGGCGUAAAGGGUGUGUAGGUGGCGCCGUUAGUCGGGUGUGAAAUUUCGGAGCUUAACUCCGAAACUGCAUUCGAUACUGCGGUGCUUGAGGACUGGAGAGGAGACUGGAAUUCAUGGUGUAGCAGUGAAAUGCGUAGAGAUCAUGAGGAAGACCAGUGGCGAAGGCGGGUCUCUGGACAGUUCCUGACACUGAGGCACGAAGGCCAGGGGAGCAAACGGG
rnacentral:rRNA from 1 species